rnacentral:RNase_P_RNA from 1 species
CAAGUAUGAAAGACGGUUGCGAGUCUAUAAGACUCGAGGAAAGUCCGAGCUCCAUAGGGCAGGAUGCCAGAUAACGUCUGGCGAGGGUAACCUUAGGGAAAGUGCCAUAGAAAAGGAAACCGCCACGUAAGUGGUAAGGGUGGAAAGGUGAGGUAAGAGCUCACCAGCAGUCUGGUAACAGGCUGGCUCGGUAAACCCCAUCCGGAGCAAGACCGAAUAGGGAAGGGUUA